rnacentral:rRNA from 1 species
AAGUGGCGCACGGGUGCGUAACGCGUAUGCAACCUACCCUUUACUGGGGGAUAGCCCGGAGAAAUUCGGAUUAAUACCCCAUGGUAUUUACAGAUGGCAUCUGAAGUAAAUUAAAGAUUUAUCGGUAAGGGAUGGGCAUGCGUGACAUUAGCUAGUUGGUGAGGUAACGGCUCACCAAGGCAACGAUGUCUAGGGGUUCUGAGAGGAUGAUCCCCCACACUGGUACUGAGAUACGGACCAGACUCCUACGGGAGGCAGCAGUGAGGAAUCUUGGACAAUGGGCGAAAGCCUGAUCCAGCCAUGCCGCGUGAAUGAUGAAGGCCCUAGGGUUGUAAAAUUCUUUCAGCAGGGAAGAUAAUGACGGUACCUGCAGAAGAAGCCCCGGCUAACUCCGUGCCAGCAGCCGCGGUAAUACG